UACAGAGGUGGCAAGCGUUGUUCGGAAUUACUGGGCGUAAAGGGCGCGUAGGCGGUUCGUCAAGUCCUGUGUGAAAUCCCCCGGCUCAACUGGGGAACUGCACAGGAAACUAGCGGGCUUGAGUUCGGGAGAGGGAAGCGGAAUUCCGGGCGUAGCGGUGAAAUGCGUAGAUAUCCGGAGGAACACCGGUGGCGAAGGCGGCUUCCUGGACCGACACUGACGCUGAGGCGCGAAAGCUAGGGGAGCAAACGGG
rnacentral:rRNA from 1 species